GUACUGCACCAGAACGCGGCUCGCGCACGCGCACUGCGCUCCGCCGCGGUCACUGCUGCCCUCGCGUGUCCACAAACCAGUACUGCCGCCGCGCCCGGCCUCUCCCGCGGGCGGAGAAUAUGGCCGGCAGCCGCCGCACACGCGCGCAGCGCUGUUCGCCGUGUUCACCGCUCCUCUCCGCUGUUUCGCUCACGGGGCCCCGGCUCCUGCCCCGCGCUGGCCGGAGCGUGCGCUCGCCCCUGCGGACGCAGCCCGGAGGAGCGGGGCCGCGGGCGGGCCCCGGAGCGGGGUUGCGGCGCGGCGUCGGCGGGAGGUCGGCUCCUGUUGCGGCAGGCGUGGCCCGGAGCGCCGGUGAGUCCCGGGAAGGUGGAACCCUCUGGAGCAAGCCGGCUGAAGGAGAACGCGAGUCAGAUACGAUCAGCGCAGCCCCGAGUUGUUCCCUUAAGAAGCGUGGCCAGGCCGAGCAGAGUGAGCAGACGGAUAGAAGAAAGAUGGCCCCGGACACCCUGAGGGGUCCCCUGCCACCAGGCACAGCCGGAAGAAUGUUGAGAUGGAACUGAUGAUAGCAAAUGCUGACAGAGAGGAAAGCUGGACAAGCAGUCUUUUUGUGAUCAGUACCUAAGGGACAAAAUGAAUGAAACAAGCGAAAACGCAGUGGACCCCUGAUACCCCCAGCAACUGCUGCAGAAGGAGGUGUUCUGCCAUGGGCAAGUAAGAUGAAUUGCUGUGGCUGAAGUUGAAGAGACCAGAAAAAUGUAAGCAAGCUGAAGUGAUAAAAUCAAAUGGAGCCAACUGAGAGCUGUCUCUGUCUCCCGCAAAGGAGAGCCCGUCCUUCCUGAUUAGGAAGGAUUGCCAUUAAUAACGGUCAGAAUAACAGAUCACCGAUGUAUAACAAAGUCUGUAUGUGUUACAAAAAGUAUGCUACGUACGUGCACGUACUGUGCAUGUGAGUUUGCAUGUCUAUGAAGCAUUAUAUUAUAAGAGCUACAAGACAGCAAAUUAUUAUCUUAGGGGAAUGAUGGUCAAGUGGCCGGAGCUGCUGAAGGAGGAGGGGGGGAGAGAAAGGCUGUGAACUGUAAAAUCAAGAGAUCAUUUUCAGAGGGCUCGCUUAGUGGAACCCCCAGUUAGUUACCUGGCGGGGGUAUUUGGGGAAAGAGGAAGACGGUAGAUAGAGGAAACAUUAAGGCCUCGGGGAAUUAACUAACAUCUCCUGCCCUCAAAUUCCUGGCACAAGGCAAGCCUUCCUCAGUAAUGCUUUCCACAUCUGCUGACUCUGUGGGAGCAGCACUGUUAGAAAACAGCGGUAAGGGAAAGCAGGUGCAAGUAGCACCAUCUUCACAUCCCCUUUGGGAGCAGAACACAAAUUCCCUGGCUGUGAGAAAGACCGUUUAGCAGCACUCUGGGCUGUAACUGUCUUAGGCUUCUGCCUUUGAUAGGACAGAGGCAAUCCAGUGCACUCAGGUCCCUCUGAAGCAGUAAUGCCAGGCAUAUGACUAGACAGCAGGGAAUUAUCUGUCCAAGUGGCUUGGUGGGCACCAAUUUUAACGAGCGGGGUGGGGGGCAGUUACUGCACAAGUGUUACAAGAAAUGGAUGAUCUUGUGUGUAUGUGAAUUGACCGAGGGGCAGAGCACGGUUGUGCCAAAAAUGUGGACACAGAAGGUUUCUGACAGAUUAAUCUCUAGCGGCUGCUUAGUCUAACUUCCCUUUCACAGCACACCCAAUUGUCAUCAGAGCUUCCAAAGCACGGGUCGGGGAAGUGGUAUUUGUGGCCUGUGUAUUCCCCAUUUGCCUUGCUUGUGUGUGCAUGUUAGAGCUGAUUUUGCGCUUAUAAACAGCUUUGGAUUCUUACAAUUUUCUGCAGACUCUUUUUUUUUGUAUGUGUGUGUGUGUGGUUUGUGGGUUUUUUUGUUUUGUGUUUUGUUUUGGGAGGGGAGUUGUUUUUUUUGUUUUGCUUUGCUCUAUACUUUUGUAGGGUGAUGGAUUUUACUACGCCUCCAUCAACAAGUGCUGGCUUAAAAAGCUAUAACAUCCUAAGGGGGACACUUAGGCAAGAUGGAGGAGUUCAGACAGACAGCCUGCUAGAAGAACGUCACCCAAGAGGGGUUGCUAGCCCCCUCUUAAGCUCUAGGCGCUGAUGUGUAUAGAUCACCCUGUCAGACACAAAGAUGUUUUCUUUGGUUGCAGACGUUUGAGCUUGUCUUUACAGCCUAUAGCGGUAGUAUUUAUAAACUGCGUUAAUGCUAGGUGUUCAUAACGUCAGGGAAUGACUGCACGCUGCCGUUAAGAACUACAGGCUACGGCCCUCAGACCUCUGUAAGGUAUCACAUGUGAAGAGCAGCCAGGAGGAUCCAAAUGCCAGCAGAAAGGUUCUCCUCCCGGUCCCGACAAGGAGCUUUUGGCCGUAGGAAGGUUGGCCGCGUCCUUGCCAGACUUGUGUCACUGGCUGUGGAUGGUUGCCUACAGAGCUGAGAGGAGCAAAAAAUUUAACAGUCUGUAAGGGAGGUGAAGUAGCGCUUGUGACGUUUCAGGUGCGUUUGCUGAUAGCGCAGCCUAGUGCAAUCCAGUGGCAUGACUCGUGCACGUGCUCACAUGUGAAUGGCAGCUAAACCCAAGCCUCUAAACAGCAACUGUAGCAGGAUUGUGGUGCAUGUCUUCCUGUUCUGCUGCCCUUCUAAAUGAAGAGGGAACUUCCUAAACUGUGGGCAAAACUCUUUGGCUUCUUCUUACUGUUCUCAAGCUCGUGGGUGCUUUGGUGUUCCUUGCUUAAAGCUAAGGGUUUCGACUUUUCCACUUGAGGUUUAUGUAGUUUGUUGUUGAGGGUGUCUCAGGCAGCGGUUAUGGUUCCUCACUGUAUUUUGUGGGGUCAGUCUGUAUCAGUCAGAGUUUACGGGUCGCUCAUUUAGCGACCAGGAUUUAAAAUCCAACCUCAUCCCUAGGCUUUUCAGCCUCAGGAACCAUUUGGGUGCCAAGAUGUGCAGUUUGUCACUUCCGGAUCAGGAGCUUAGGGCUCGGUGAUAAGGGAAAAAUCCGUAGAUAAUAAAGUGUAAGACCUGAAGCCUAAGCAGCGGGCUGCAAACCCUCCUUCGGGGUUUGUCAUCUUCCCCUGUACUAGCGUUCAGCUCUCUGCACUGGGCUGAGGUCUGGAUUUGAUAGGGUGCAGGCCCACCGCACCGACACUGGCGAUGUGCGUCGGGCAAGCCAAGAGCUAUGCGAGUGUCGUGCAGGGCUGUAGUCUGGGGCAGAGCAGAAGCACAGACAGGCGAGCUCAGGCAUUGUCCUCUCUAAUUCUCAGAGCUGAAUCCUAUCCCUGAAGGGAAAAACAGAAGGGGCAGGCCAUGGGCUACACAGACACCUGCUGCAUCAGGGGCUGCGGUGGGAGUUGACCCUUCCCUGAUGGACGGACGGAUGGUUGUUGACGUGGCGAUGACUCUUCAGGUGUCACAGAGUAAGGGGAAGCGUGCCGGAGCCAAGCUCUGUGGCAGACUCGCUCCCAGGUGGUGUUUUUGUGCAGUAAAACAAUAAACAGCUGCUUUAUUCUU